CUUUCUUUGCUGGCGACCGGCGCACGGGUGAGUAACACGUAUCCAACCUGCCCUUUACUCGGGGAUAGCCUUUCGAAAGAAAGAUUAAUACCCGAUGGCAUAAUGAUUCCGCAUGGUUUCAUUAUUAAAGGAUUCCGGUAAAGGAUGGGGAUGCGUUCCAUUAGGUUGUUGGUGAGGUAACGGCCCACCAAGCCUUCGAUGGAUAGGGGUUCUGAGAGGAAGGUCCCCCACAUUGGAACUGAGACACGGACCAA
rnacentral:rRNA from 1 species